UCUGCUUUCUCUCAGCUUCUUCUCUCAUCUUACAAAAACUAUCAUCCGUCGACAACUCGGGUUGGGACCAUUUCAAAAACUAUCAUCUGUUCUAUAGGAAGUAGUGGUCUUGUACUCAAACUAUCUAGUGCGGUAUUCAGAUCAAAAAAUCAUCAGAGUCGUUGAUAAUUGGAUGUUCUCUGAGUUGUUCUGGUAUGCCAUUCUCUUGGAGGUGGGACAUGGUCUGGUAUGGGAACACUUUUGAUUUCAAAGAUUAGAGAAGAGUACCGGAUAGGAUGAUGAUGGCUUAUUCUGUAUUUCCUUUCCCAAGGAACUAAUAUUCAAACGAACGAAGUUGCUAAUAAGCUGGAGUGUAGUUGUACUUCUCUUUGAAUAUCGUUUAUUUUCUAUACUUUAAUUGCUUUUAUAGUAAAACUGGCAUUUGUGCUACUUGUCAUUGAUAAGAUUUUCCAAAAUUUUGUUUAGAUUUAUAUCUAAAUGUAUGACUUC